rnacentral:rRNA from 1 species
UACGGAGGGUGCGAGCGUUGUCCGGAAUCACUGGGCGUAAAGGGCGCGUAGGCGGCUCGGUAAGUAGGGGGUGAAAUCCUGCGGCUUAACCGCAGGGCUGCCUUCUAAACUGUCGAGCUCGAGCACGGUAGAGGCAGAUGGAAUUCCCGGUGUAGCGGUGGAAUGCGUAGAGAUCGGGAAGAACACCGGUGGCGAAGGCGGUGCUCUGGAACGCAACUGACGCUGAGACGCGAAAGCGUGGGGAGCAAACAGG